CGCCAGCCUGGCCGGCGCGGCGGUGGCGUCGACGCUGUCGGUGUUGCGCAAUGAAAGCCUGUAUAACAACUCGGUGAUCAUCGCCUGGCUGGCGU
rnacentral:tRNA from 1 species